UGUUUUUUUUGUGGUCACCAUGAGGGGCAUGUGAACACCUUUACGGCCGUCUAGACGCUGGUGGACGCCAUAUUGUUUGGAAACUCUAUUUUGUGACGUUUAUUUUGUAUGGGGAAAAUAAAAAUAAACAACAAUUGAGAAUAAGAAAGAUAAAAACAAUGCAGCAGUGUGAGAAAUAAAUUGAGAUAAUGCCGAAAAAUUCAAAAUGCGUGGUGCCUCAUUGCGGGCAUGUACAACAGAAGAAUAAAGAAUGUAUUUACGCGAAAUUUCCCCGAGAAGUUGAAAGAUGCAAGAAAUGGGUACAGGCUGUAGGCGUAGAGGACCUCACAAGCUUGUCAAUAGAGAAGCACAAUGGGAUACGCUACGUCUGUGGAUGCCACUUUACUCCCGAUCAAUUUUGUCAUCCCUUCAGGAAAAAACUGAAGAUGACAGCUGUCCCAUCACUGUUCGAUCCUCGAGUCAUUCCUCUGGCCGAUGAAUUGUUGGAGAAUUUUCCAAUCCUGAAUGUUCUGAAGAUUCCGAUUGAAGAAUCCUGUUGACUCCCGAUUCCCCGACUUUGCCGCCUAAUUUGAAAAACAUCUGUAGGACCAACACUAACACAAAUGAUUUAAUAAAGCGAUUAGACCACAAAUCACAAGCUUGUGAAGUAGAGGCUUCUGCAUCACACUCCACACCAGCUCCUGAAGAACCUCUGGAUUUGGAAGCAACUGAAGAUACCCGAAUAGACUUUCUGUCAAAAGAUUAUUCAGGAAGUAUUGGACAUGCAACACCUCACGGGCGAGGGAUCAAGCGUUACAGACGUUCUGAUGAAUUCUUUGCAAUAUGGAACAGCGGAUUCAGAAUAUCAUCUCUAAAAAUAGUGGCCUGUUUAUUGGAAUUGAUGUUCCAUUUGAUGAGAGCAAAUCAAACUCUCUAUUUUACAGUUGUGAUGCUCUGUUGGAAACUUAGACACCCCCCCCCCC